CUCAGGCCCCAGCUCCUCUGUUCUGCCCAGUGGCCUGGCGCAGGAAAGGUGACCCAGUAGUUCAGCCUGUCCCAGCUGCCUGCCCCAGCACCAUCCCAGACCCCUUUCCCUGGGGCCCACCUUGGCCCUGAGGAAGGCCAGAGCUCGGCUGCUGUUCUCCAGGAAGUGCACACGCAGGCGGCCCCGGCUCGGGGGUGGCAGGGCCUCCCCUGAGAUGAGCUCCAGCAGCCGCAGGAGGUGGAUGCCGUCAGCCAGCUCUGUGUACAGGUUCCGGAUCUUGAUGCCCGCCUGGGGAGGGGACAGGGUGCAGCUCUGCUCGUGCCUGUGAAGCCUCCCACAGCCUGGGAAGGAAAAUCCAGACUUGCCAGACCUUGCCUCAGCCAGGCCUUGGAAGCCUGCCAGCUUACCUAACCAGGCUAGUCUGCCCCCCUCACUCUGGGUGCUCUCCAUGGGCCACUCACCAUUUCCUGAGCAGGACCAGAGCUCUCCUGCCCCAAGGCUGGGCUUCAGCUGCUCUUUCAGCUUUGAACGUCCUUUCCCAUUCUCCAUCAUCCACAUUCACCUAUCCUGCCUGCCCCAGUUAAAAUCCUGUUUCUUCUAGGAAGUCCCUCAUCCCACCCGCUUACCCCAGGGAGACUGAGCUUGUUCCUUCUCCUAGUAAGACCCUCAGCCCAUGGAGUCCUGUGUGAUGUUGUGAGCGUGGGAGGACAGACUGAACUGCUCGGCCCGUGGAGUCCUGUGUGAUGUUGUGAGCGGGGAGGACAGACUGAACUGCGUGGUGCUUCGCACAUAGACCUCAACAGGGAUUGGCAUUUUGAAGCUGUUGGCGGGGGCUGUGGACUGCUUUUCUUCCUUUCUAGCUCAACGGCAGCUAAAGCCACUGCAUACAAUGCAAGGACUGGCUCCUGUUUGGCCACGACUGAUUGCAGCCCCUGGUGAAAUGAGAACCCUGUGGGUCGGAACAAAGUUUGGAUUAUUUAUGUUGCAAGUAACUAAAAUCUCAAGUGAAACUGGUUUAAACAUUAUAUUUUUAUUAUUUAUUUAUUUAUAUUUAAUUCUUUUUUAGAGACAGGGUCUUCUUAGGUUGCCCAGGCUGGUCUUGAACUCCUGGCCUCAACGAUCUUCCCACUUCAGCCUCCUGCAUUGCUGGGAUUAUAGGUGUGAGCCACCAUGCCUGGCUUACACAGUAUAAAGGGAAUGCAUUGGCCCACACAGUGGAAAAAAAUAUCUAGUAGGAAUAGGAAGGACUUCAGGUGAGGUUUGAUCCAGCAGCUCAAAUGUUGUCACCACAGGCCUGGAUUCCUCUGGCCUUUCUCAAGGUCUCUUUCAUUUUCAUGCUCCACAAGAUGGCUUCUGCCAGGCUGACCUCCCUCCCCUGACCCCAGCAGCUCUGGACACCCCUCUCAGUGCCAUUUAUAUUGUUGCAUCAAUAGGCUCAUUUCUAUAUACUGCAAGGUUCAGAGAAGACAGAGUAUCUCUCUCAAGAGUUCUAACAUAAGUCUGGGGGUCCUGGCUCUCAUAGGCUUGAACAGGGCCACAUGUCCAUUCCUGAGCCAAUAUUUGUGACCAAGGGGAUGUGGUCAAUCUCAUCCAAACCUCACUUGAAGUGAGGGUGGGAGGAGGAGUGCUCUGCAAGGAGACUGUAGGUCUGGACCACCAAAAAGGUAGAUGGGUUGGUGGGAAAAGCCAGAUGCCUACUAUGGUAGUGGGCGGGGGGAGGGCACACUGGCAAGGUACAGCAAGAGGCAGGGGCAGUGCUGGACAGGCAGGGGCUCCUCCCUAGCACGACUGGAGAAAGGACUCCUGUGAAGCGGUCACCUCCAUGAGUCCCUCCUGUCCUGGCUUCCAACCACUCUGAAGUGGGGCUUUUGUCCACAGACCUGGCCUCUGCUGCCUACCCUCUUCUGUCCCCACCUGAUGGGGCCGCUUUCCUUCUGAAGCGGCUGCAUUUUGGGUUUCUCUCCACAGGAAGAGUUGGGGCUCACAGGCACACCCUCUCCCUAACUCUUCUCCCCCGGUUCAACCUGGAUCCAGGGAUCCACACUCUGCUCCGAGAGGCCAGCACGCAGCCACUGGAAAAUGAGCCAGUGGGAGAGGGCAGCUCCAUGUUUAUUGAUCAGCAGACUAUGUCUUUUUGUUUGAAACUUCUAAAUAAGAUUACAAAAAGAAAAAAAAUAGAAGCAUUGCGUAUUAACUGCAUUGGUUAACCAACAUUGGAACCCAAUACUCUUGUAUUAGGCCCGCAUUUACCUGAGUAAACUCAGUGGUUUUCUGUCCUAAGCAUGCUUGCCUGCUACAUCCCAUGGAGAAAAUAAACAGUGAAACACUUUCCUCAUCUUCAAGGCAAUUGUCUCAGGCAUCCUCCAGGCAUCAUGAAGGAGGGUGAGCGAGGGUGCGAGGUGGAAAGGUCCAGGCCGCGGCUGUGACUCCCGCGGGUGAACCACAGCUCCACAGCCCCAAAUCCAAAGAUGCUCUUGCUGCAGCACGACAAGUGUUCAAAAGAGAACCAGGCCCAGCCCGGAGAAAGGAAAGCCAAAAGCCAACUGAAUGAAUGACCCUCCCCCAGAAGAGCAACCCUGCCCCCAGGCCAUCCAAGUGCGGUGAGUUGAGAAAUGAAUUGACAGACGCUGCAGGGCUGGAGCAGGAGGCGGAAGCAGGUUGGAAGGCUGUUGUGUGCCACCCCUCCCUGGGAGCUGGGGAGAUUCCCAAGUCUUAGUGCAGUGUUUCUCUACAAACGGGGUCAGGAGACCCUCACUGGCAGGCUGACAACUUGGAAGCAGACUGUGGGAGCAAUAGGCUGGAGUUUUCAUUUUCCCUUUAAACUCAAGACCGGAAGGUUUGUGUUAUGCGAUACCAUAUGCUGUGUAGAAAACAGGGCCUCAGCUUCUUAGAUGUUGUAGUUCUAGAGUUUAGGUACUUCCACCCUCUCUCCUAUACAUAAACACUCUGUGGAAGAGGUUCUUUGAAAAUUGGGGUGGUGCAGGAAGGGCAACGGUGAUGGUGAGCAGGCCCCAGGGUCGGCCCUGCCGCCCUGCCGUGUGGGGUAGGGAGACAGCUGGUGGUGUGGACACAUUCACAGAACUUUGUACUGGUCCUGGGAAGAUACAAGUCCUCACUUGGUCGCCAUCCCUCAUAUUUUCUAGUGUUUUCUUUUCCAGUCAACUUUUCUUGAUGAAUGACUGCAUGUAAGAGGAUAUUAAGAAAAGUGGCCAAAUGAUUUCCUUUUUUUUUCCUUUCUCUCCAAGAACAUUACCAGGUGCCAGCAGGGAAAGGACUCCGCUGCCUGACGCCUCUCCCACCUGAGAGCGCAGAGGUAGGGAGAUCACAGUGCCUGAGAGGUUUUCCUCCACGGAGAAAUCAGAGACCUCAACCUGCUGCCCUCUAAAGCAGCUUUCUGUAUCCAGACAAAACUUACAUAUGUACACGUUGUUUUAAAACGACAUACUCAUGUGACACACAUGUAUAUAAAUUCAUGUUUAUAUAUGACAAUUGAGGAGAGUUAAAGAACAAGAUAAUUCUGGAUGGAAAAAUCAGUUUGCCUGGGCAUCUGUAAACCUUUGGGCAAGUGAAUUCCCUCUUCUCUCUCAGUUCACCCUUUGGUGACCUCCACCGUGGCUGCAGACUUCAGGUGGUCCUCACGCAUUCACAGAACUGUCUGCUUAGGUUACAGCACUUUGGGAGGCCGAGGUGGGUAGAUCACGAGGUCAGGAGAUCGAGACCAUAUUGACCAACAUGGUAAAACCCCAUCUCUACUAAAAUACAAAAAUUAGCCGGGCGUGGUGGCGGGUGCCUGUAGUCCCAGCUACUUGGGAGGCUGAGGCAGGGGAAUCACUUGAACCUGGGAGGCGGAGGUUGCAGUGAACUGAGAUUGCGCCACUGCACUCCAGCCUGGGUGACAGAGAC
rnacentral:lncRNA from 10 species